rnacentral:rRNA from 1 species
GCAGUCGACGGUUGUAGCAAUACAGCAGUGGCAGACGGGUGAGUAACACGUGGGAACCUACCUAGGGGUACGGAAUAACUCAGGGAAACUUGUGCUAAUACCGUAUACGACCUUCGGGUGAAAGAUUUAUCGCCCCUAGAUGGGCCCGCGUUGGAUUAGCUAGUUGGUGGGGUAAAAGCCUACCAAGGCGACGAUCCAUAGCUGGUCUGAGAGGAUGAUCAGCCACACUGGGACUGAGACACGGCCCAGACUCCUACGGGAGGCAGCAGUAGGGAAUCUUGGACAAUGGGCGAAAGCCUGAUCCAGCCAUGCCGCGUGAGUGAUGAAGGCCUUAGGGUUGUAAAGCUCUUUCGCCAGGGAAGAUAAUGACGGUACCUGGAUAAGAAGCCCCGGCAAACUUCGUGCCAGCAGCCGCGGUAAUACGAAGGGGGCUAGCGUUGUUCGGAAUUACUGGGCGUAAAGCGCACGUAGGCGGUUUUCCAAGUUGGAGGUGAAAUCCCUGGGCUCAACCCGGGAACUGCCUCCAAAACUGGAUGACUCGAGUCCGAGAGAGGUGAGUGGAAUUUCCAGUGUAGAGGUGAAAUUCGUAGAUAUUGGAAAGAACACCAGUGGCGAAGGCGGCUCACUGGCUCGGUACUGACGCUGAGGUG